rnacentral:rRNA from 1 species
UACGAAGGGGGCUAGCGUUGCUCGGAAUCACUGGGCGUAAAGGGUGCGUAGGCGGGUCUUUUAAGUCAGGGGUGAAAUCCUGGAGCUCAACUCCAGAACUGCCUUUGAUACUGAGGAUCUUGAGUUCGGGAGAGGUGAGUGGAACUGCGAGUGUAGAGGUGAAAUUCGUAGAUAUUCGCAAGAACACCAGUGGCGAAGGCGGCUCACUGGCCCGAUACUGACGCUGAGGUGCGAAAGCGUGGGGAGCAAACAGG